CAGCAAUGCCGCGUGAGUGAUGAAGGCCUUAGGGUCGUAAAGCUCUUUUACCCGGGAUGAUAAUGACAGUACCGGGAGAAUAAGCCCCGGCUAACUCCGUGCCAGCAGCCGCGGUAAUACGGAGGGGGCUAGCGUUGUUCGGAAUUACUGGGCGUAAAGCGCACGUAGGCGGUUACUCAAGUCAGAGGUGAAAGCCCGGGGCUCAACCCCGGAACUGCCUUUGAAACUAGGUGACUAGAAUCUUGGAGAGGCGAGUGGAAUUCCGAGUGUAGAGGUGAAAUUCGUAGAUAUUCGGAAGAACACCAGUGGCGAAGGCGACUCGCUGGACAAGUAUUGACGCUGAGGUGCGAAAGCGUGGGGAGCAAGACAGGAUUAGAUACCCUGGUAA
rnacentral:rRNA from 1 species